CAAUGUCAUACCAACAUGUGAAGUUUGUGGCAAAAAUCUCUGUCAUUUUCAUGCCCCUUGGUUAUUUUAUGACCCUUUAAAGCUCAUAAAUAAAACAAUCAAAGAAACAAUUAAUUUUGCAUGUAUCAUGUUUCAUUGCUCUCCCCCUAUGCCAUCUUUUCUUUGGAAUGCUUUGUUGAAUGUCAGUUUCCUGGCUCUUUUCCUCAAUUCAGUCCCGGAUAUGAUGUGUCUUUUUACAUGUACAGUGGUAAUUCAAGAGGACACUUUAGUUCUAAUAUGAGCUCAUUAUAAGCAUCCACCUUUAAUGUUUUGGUACUUGUACGAAACUCAGGAUUCAAUGGUUCAUGAUUAAAUGUUGGGUUUUUUUUUCUGAUGAGUGCCAUAUUGUCAGAUACAUUUUGUUUAUAGGUCUUCAAUUUUCACAUCGAACAUUCCCAUGUCUGCUCCUGUCUCCAUUGCUGUUAAUCAUUCUGAGGAAAGAAAAUGUAAUGAAUUUAUAAAUAAUAAAAUUGAGAAUGGAUAUGGGGAAUGUGUCAAAGAGACAACAACCCGACCAAAUAAAAAACAACAGCAGAAGGUCACCAACAGGUCUAGGCUACAAUAAAUUAUCUUAUGUUAAAACUUUCCUCAUUUCUGUGUUAUGUAAAAAUAAAAAGAAUGCACA
rnacentral:lncRNA from 1 species